rnacentral:tmRNA from 1 species
GGGGUUGACUGGAUUUGACAGCGUGUAGAGGUGGUAAGUAAGCAUGCAGAGCCACGAUGGCUAAACUCUUUAAACUUGGACAUCAAAAAUUUCAAAUGGCGAAAAUAACUACGCUCUUGCUGCUUAACUGAAGUAUAGUAGGUUAGCUUAAUCUGUGCCACAGAGGCAUAGACAAGACAUCACCUCGAUUGCCCUUUUCCGAGACGUUUCGACUCAGGUGGUGCUCAGCAAAAUCGGAAAUAGAAUCUGCCUUUCCGUGUGGCUGAUUCGAAGCCUUUAGCGGAUAAGCCAUGAGUUGGUGGUUUUGAGCCUGCUUAUGGACGAAAACCAAGUCGAAACUAAGCAUGUAGAUAGCUUAUUAGUUCCGCGUUUGGACGAGGGUUCGAUUCCCUCCAGCUCCACU